UCGCUGUGCAGAACAGGACAGUAGAAAUUGGUCUUUCGGGUCCUGCGUGAAGGGGGGUAUUUGAAAACACAAGCCAGCUUUCGUGUGUGUUUGUGAUGUGAACUUAUACCAGUUGUAUGGUUUGAAAAACCACAAACUGGGGUUUUAAUUUUACUUGGUUUCAGGCUGUUGGUGAGUUGUCAGAAGAGAAAGCAGAUCCUUGAUGGAGGAACUGACCUUCCGCCGAGGCCUCAGGAAUUCCUACAGAGAAAUCGUCUUACGUGUGUGUGUGCACGCCGAGGCCGAGACAGAGACAUUCACUCAGCACGGUUUUCAAAAAAGAAAACGCCGAAGCACCUCAAGGUCACUCGGCAGAGGGGCGUGAAGAGCGACUGCCGAUUUCACAUGAGACCAGGCUACACGUGGACUGGCGUGGCGCAGUGGGCCGGGGCUGCGCUAAGCCGCAACGCUCGGACCCGGUCCAAGAGCCCCGCGCUGACCUGCUGAGUGACUUCACCUUCUGGGCCUCGGUUUCCUCACCUGCACGUGGAAGGACCUGGACUCAUUUUCUCUCUACUCUCAAGUUCAGUCAGGAGGUGAGUCUGCAAGAAGUUUAAUGGGCUUUGAGAGCUGCUGAAGAUAAAAACUCUAUUUCUCUGCUUCCUUGUGUGUUCCGCAAAGAGAAACGGAAUCAUUUACAGAAAAGCAGCUGCAGACCUCCUCCUCACCCCGGAGGAGAGGGGACAUGACCCCCUCAGUCUAAGGCUGGACGUGACUGUUUCUCUCCCACUGUAGGAAGUCUCAGCUUCCACUUUCAGAAAACACCUGUUCACCAGAACAGUCGAUUGACCAAAAACACCAUUCACAUCUUUUUUUUUUACCAUUUCUUGGGCCGCUCCCGCGGUGUAUGGAGGUUCCCAGGCUAGGGGUCCAAUCGGAGCUAUAGUCUCCGGCCUACGCCAGAGCCACAGCAACUCGGGGUCCGAGCCAUGUCUGCGACGUACACCCCAGCUCACGGCAACGCCGGAUCCCUAACCCUCUGAGCAAGGGCAGGGAUCGAACCCGCAACCUCAUGGUUCCUAGUCGGAUUCGUUAACCACUGCGCCACGACGGGAACCCCAAUUCACAUCUUGAUUUAGGAUUUGUCAGGUACUUUCCCCCUGUCACUAGGAGGAGCCCCCAACUGUGUGUGUGUGGGGGGGUUGCCGUCACUGGCCUUACUUUGCUAUGAGGACAAGGGGCUGAGAAAAGCCGCCCCCUGCCCCCGAGGUUAGCCUAACUCAGCCUAACCUGUACAAGGUCGGCUAGUCCCGACCUCAUAUCUCAGUGGAUUUCGGGCCCGCCCUCUGCCUCCAGUAAACAGCUUAAAACUGUAAGGGUGAAACAGAGGCCUGACAUUUCCUGACAGGCACCACAGGAACCGUGCCCCAACAGCGCUGCUUCUCCGGGAGGAAAUGCAGGUGCUGCCGGGCUCAGUAGCAGGCAACAGGUCUUUCAUUCAGGUAGAAGCCCAGCAUGGAAGACCCCAGGCUCCGACUACCCUGCACCCCGGGCUCCUGUUCCCGCUCUGAUCCCGGACCAGGGAAGUUUCUCAGUCGUAAACUGAGCAGUGGGGACAGUGACAGGAUCACCGUGGCACCUGCAGGUCCCCUGGUGCAGGAUGGAGAUCCGAGGAUACGGGAGGAUAAAGCAAGCCCAGGAGGGAUGUGAGGUCUGAGACUCUGGUCCCGGGAGCACUAACAUCUUUAAGGUACGGUUGUUAUAGAGUUAACACGAGUUCUCUGGUGGUCGAAUGGCUAAGCAGUUGUCACUCCUGCGGCGAGAGUUCAAUCCCUGGCCCAGGAACUUCUGCCCGCUGCAGGCUCGGCAAAAAAAAGGAUUUAGCGUAAGUGUACAGACACCUAACCCAGUGCUAGCACACAGCAGGCAGUAUACAAUGGCUGUUAAACUGUCAGCAAGGCUGACUCACUUUAUUUAAAGUGGACUUGCUUAAACAUAAGCAUCUUCUUUUUUUUUUCUUGCUUUUUAGGGCCACACCCACGGCAUGUGGAGGUUCCCAGGCUAGGGGUUGAAUCGGAGCUGCAGCUGCCACAGCUGCCACAGCAACAUCAGAUCCUUAACCCACUGAGAGAGGCCAGUGACCAAACCUGUGUCCUCAUGGAUACUAGUCAGGUUCAUUACUGCUGAGCCACAGUGGGAACUCUCAGCAUUUUCUAAUUUAAGAGGAACACUGGUUUAACAAAGCAUUUAAUUGUACAAAUCAAGAUUUAACCUGUUACUCAGUUUGCAGUGACUUCUCAUGGAGGUUUUAAGCUGGGAAAGUAUCAACCCCAUUUUUUUAAAAAAAUAAAAUCAGGUUAGGAGUUCCCGUCGUGGGACAGUGGUUAACGAAUCCGACUAGGAACCAUGAGGUUGCGGGUUCGGUCCCUGCCCUUGCUCAGUGGGUUAAGGAUCCGGCGUUGCCCUGAGCUGUGGUGUAGGUCGCAGAUGCGGCUCGGAUCCCACAUUGCUGCGGCUCUGGGGUAGGCCGGCGGCUACAGCUCCGAUUCGACCCCCAGCCUGGGAACCUCCAUAUGCCGCAGGUGUGGCCCUAAACAGACCAAAACAACACCCAAAAACAAAAAACCCAAAGCAAGGAUUCUCUGGUGGCUUAGUGAUUAAGAGUUUGGCACUGUCGCUUCUGUAGCUCAGGUUCGAUCCCUGGCCCAGGAACUUCUGCAUUCCAGGGGUAUGGCCAAACACACACACACACACACACACACACACACACUACAUUAGAUAGCUUUUCACUAAUCUGUUACCAAAAGAAUUCAACCUCAUUUUCAGCACUCCCCCAGGGUUACCUGCAAUUUUAUCUAAUCACAAUCUAAAGCCUAAUUCUUGAUGUUCUAAGUGCUUAUCUGUGAUUUUUUAUCCAGUGUCCACAGGAAUUAACAAAGGUGGUUGCAAAGACUGCCAAAUCCAACAAAGUCUGCCUCCUAAACUCCACAUUUUAUUUUAUUUUAUUUUAUUUUUUUUGGUCUUUUUGUCUUUUUUUGUUGUUGUUGUUGUUGUUGUUGUUGUUGUUGCUAUCUCUUGGGCCGCUUCCGUGGCAUAUGGAGGUUCCCAGGCUAGGGGUUGAGUCAGAGCUGUAGCUGCUGGCCUGCACCACAGCCACAGCAAUGCCAGAUCUGAGACGCGUCUGUGACCUACACCACAGCUCACGGCAACGCCGGAUCGUUAACCCAUUGAGCAAGGGCAGGGACCGACCCCGCGACCUCAUGGUUCCUAGCCGGAUUCGCUAACCACUGCGCCACGACGGGAACUCCUUUUUUUUUUUUUUUUGGUCUUUUUGUCUUUUUUUGUUGUUGUUGUUGUUGUUGCUAUAAACUCCACAUUUUAAAAGAAAGACGGCCACAGCCACCAGCCCUUCCUGGAAACAUCAUCAAGGGCAGGAAGCCGGACUCCAGGCCACUGUCACGCUCUUCACUUCAUUAACACUUAGAGCCACACUGUGGAGAGCACACAGCUGACCCCUGAACACCACGGCGGGGUGCUGACCUGCCGGCAGUGGAAAGCCCAGGUACCGCUCAGAGUCAGCCCUUCCUACUGGCCAUUCCUCUGCAUCCGGGCUCAGCAUCUUUGGAUGCGCCGGCUGUGGAUGGCCCAGUGCUGUGUAUAGUCCUGACAUUUUUUUUUUUUUCCUUUUUCCAGGGAUGCACCUGUGGCAUAUGGAGGUUCCCAGGCUAGGGGUUGAGUCAGAGCUGUAGCUGCUGGCCUGCACCACAGCCACAGCAAUGCCAGAUCUGAGACGCGUCUGUGACCUACACCACAGCUCACGGCAACGCUGGAUCCUUAACCCACUGAGCAAGGCCAGGGAUUAACUCUUGACCUCCUAGUUGGAUAUGUUACUGCUAAGCCACAAUGGGAACUCCAACUAAGAUUCUUUUAAAUUACUUUCGUUGCUAUUAGAUUGUCGUCAACUACUUUAGUUAACUUAUUUUCAUAUAGUAAACUUGCUAUUUUUUGUCUAGGUAAAUCUUAUCAAAUGUCAACACUAUUCUUUUUUUUUUUUUUCUUUUCUUUU
rnacentral:lncRNA from 1 species